rnacentral:lncRNA from 1 species
AAGAGCUCCAUUAAUUGUUUUUAUAAUUUUUACCAACUUUCAAUUUCUGUAUCGGUGAGUAGUGUGAUAUUCUUACUAGACUACUGUAGCUCACAUUUUCAUUAAUUAUUUUAGAUCAAGAGGAUAAAGACUCAAAUCCUGAUCAACAAGAGAGUUGUGAAUAGUUCGCCAUCCAGACUUCCUUCAAAAGCUAGUGAAGGUCGGUGUAAAGUGCUCAGUAUAUUGUCUUUUGUUUAUUUUUUUUAUUUUUAUUUAUUCUUUU